UACGAAGGGGGCUAGCGUUGCUCGGAAUCACUGGGCGUAAAGGGCGCGUAGGCGGGCUCUUAAGUCGAGGGUGAAAUCCUGUGGCUCAACCACAGAACGGCCUUCGAUACUGGGAGCCUGGAGUUCGAGAGAGGUUGGUGGAAUUGCGAGUGUAGAGGUGAAAUUCGCAGAUAUUCGCAGGAACACCAGUGGCGAAGGCGGCCAACUGGCUCGAUACUGACGCUGAGGCGCGAAAGCGUGGGGAGCAAACAGG
rnacentral:rRNA from 1 species